rnacentral:misc_RNA from 1 species
UUUCCGUAGGUGAACCUGCGGAAGGAUCAUUAAAAAAUUGGACUCCAUUGGUGAGUUCAUUAAUAAUCCCUACCCUUUGUGAAUUUGUUUGUUUGAAUAAUUUUUUUUCCAAAAAAAAUUAUUGAAUGUCUUUCCUUGUUUUGGUGGAGCUUGUAAAGUGAAACCAGGCAGGGGAAUGGCAAACAAUAAUUAUUUUUGAAAAAGACCUUUUUUUAAAAUUAAACUUUUUGUAUUCAUUUGUCUAAAAUUAAUUUUUAUAAUAUAAAAACAACUUUUGACAAUGGAUCUCUUGGUUCUCGCAACGAUGAAGAACGCAGCAAAAUGCGAUAAGUAGUGUGAAUUGCAGAAUACGUGAAUCAUCGAAUCUUCGAACGCAUAUUGCACUUUUUUAGUUUACUAAAAAAGUAUGUCUGUUUGAGUAUCAGUAAAAUAUUCUCAUAAAAAACAUUGUUUUUUUUAUGGUUAUGAGUGUUUUACAACGAUAACAAGUUGUUUCACUUUAAAUUCUUUGUUAUCAAAAAAAUCAUUAAAAGCUAAUUUUAAAGAUUUUUUAAAAUUGGAUAAAAUUUUCCCGUAAAAAGGAAUAACCUAAACAAUUUUAAAAAAUUAAAAUUGGUUUGAUUUUUUUUGAAACCCAAAGGAAAAAAAAACGAAAUUAACUUGAUCUCAAAUCAGAUAAGAGUACCCGCUGAACUUAAGCAUAUCAAUAAGCGGAGGAAAAGAAACUAACUAGGAUUCCCUCAGUAACGGCGAGUGAAGCGGGAAGAGCUCAAAUUUGAAAUCUUCAAGGUUUUACCUUGACGAAUUGUAGUUUAAAGAAGUGUUUUCUGUUGGAGUUUUGGUAAAAGUUCUUUGGAAAAGGACAUCAUAGAGGGUGAGAACCCCGUAUUUGACCAUUAUCUCCAGCUUUGUGAUACACUUUCAAAGAGUCGGAUUGUUUGGGAAUGCAGUCCAAAAUGGGUGGUAAAUUUCAUCUAAAGCUAAAUACUGGCGAGAGACCGAUAGCGAACAAGUACCGUGAGGGAAAGAUGAAAAGAACUUUGAAAAGAGAGUUAAACAGUACGUGAAAUUGUCAAAAGGGAAGCGUUUGACACCAGUGUUGUUUUCUCGAAAAUCAAUUAAAAAAGGCCGGAUUUUGUGUUGUAUUGACUUUAUCAGCUUUCUGCACUCUUUUCUUGUCUUUUUUAAUGCACUUUUCGUUUAACAAGUCAACAUCAAUUUCUUUUGUUGUAAAAGGGUCAUUGGAAGGUGGCUUUCUUUUCGGAGAAAGUGUUUGUAGCCUUUGGCCUCUGCAAUCGGAGAGAUUGAGGUCUGCAGCGUAGAUCCUUCGGGUUAGAUACAUUUGUGCUAAGUUAUAGCCUUUCAUAGACAACUUGUUGACUAUGAUCAGUCAUGUAGCUUACUCGCUUAUGCUAUUUUACCUACGCUUAGGAUGUUG